GCGGGAGUGGCGGAAUUGGCAGACGCACCAGACUUAGGAUCUGGCGCCAUUGGCGUGGGGGUUCAAGUCCCUUCUCCCGCACCA
rnacentral:tRNA from 2 species